rnacentral:rRNA from 1 species
GGGAUAUUGCACAAUGGGCGCAAGCCUGAUGCAGCGACGCCGCGUGGGUGAUGAAGGUCUUCGGAUCGUAAAGCCCUUUUCUGCGUGACGAUAAUGACGGUAGCGCAGGACUAAGUGUCGGCUAACUACGUGCCAGCAGCCGCGGUAAAGCGUAGGACGCAAACGUUAUCCGGAAUUACUGGGCGUAAAGGGCGCGCAGGCGGUUGGGUAAGUUAGGCAUGAAAGCUCCCUGGCUAAACCGGGAGAGGAUGUCUGAAACUGCUGAACUAGAGUGAGGUAGAGUGGUGUAGAAUUCCGCGUGUAGUGGUGAAAUGCGUAGAUAUGCGGAGGAAUACCAGUGGCGAAGGCGGCACCCUGCACCUCAACUGACGCUGAGGCGCGAAAGCAUGGGUAGCGAAC